rnacentral:lncRNA from 1 species
GCCCUCUGCAGGUGGAACAGGCUGUGGCGAAGAGUUUGCACUCUGGAAUCAGAAUGCCUGCAUCUUAAUUCUGGCUGCGUGAUUUACUGGCUGUGUGACCUUGGGCAAAUCGCUUAAACUCUCUGUGCUCAGUUUCCUCAUCUGUCAAAUGAGAACUUUAGAAUUCACCUAGAGGCUUCCUGGGAGGAUUUUCCUAGCACAGGCCUGGCAGCACAGUGGUGGUCAAGCCAGCCACACCACGAUGAUCUUUCCCUCAAGGUUGCCGAAGAGUUGCUGCAGCUCCAGAUAGCACAUCUGUUUUCAAGGCAAGUAGGGCACAAAAAGGUAGAAUGCUGGUGUCUGUUCCUGUAUCAAUCAUGUGUGUUAU